CCCCGAUGCACUGUGGGAAGUGCACACGCAGCAGGUUUCAGUCCCCGAUAACCUGCCAGCGUGGGAGGAUAUAAAUAACAACAAGCUUCACGCUGAUCCUGGCACUGCCUCAUCCUCUUCAGGCCAACAUACUCAACAUACUGACCGACCACGACCUCAGGGAACCAACCCAACACCAGGAUUGAGCUGGACAGAAGGGUCCUUCUUACCUGAAAAGAGCGGCGAGGUUUCCUAGUGUGUAGAAGACGGCGAAAAGCUUGACUCCACCUGGAAGGAAGAGCAGAGCUGUGCCCUGGUGAAACAGGAAAACAGUCUCUGUCAGCUUCACAGCAUCAUAACUUAAAUGGCCAUACUCAAACGCAUCACAACCACAGCUGCCAGAAUAACAGAACUCAACAACAGGGCUAUGACGCAGACUGCAACCUCAACAGAACAGGACAUCACACACAUGCACAACACAUCCACCUCGCGCCACAGAGACGGAGGUACAGAGCAGUGAGGUGCAGAAGAGUCGCUUUGUGAGGAGCCUGAUCCCUGCUGCCCUGAACAAAAGGCCCCGCUGAACAGAACAGAGUGUGGACUUCUGUUGUGUGACGUUGUUUGUUUUACUGAGUGUUCUGUGUGUGUACUCUUCUUUGGUGGGUAUUGUCUGUUGGACAGAAACGGUGCUGUGAAAAGGAAUUUCCCCAUAACGACCAUAAAGUCGAAAGUCUCUUUUUUUUGUGAUUGCCUUAAAUCUGCAAAAAUUAUUUUUUUUUUUUUUAAAUUAUUUAUAUUGUUAUGUUAUAAUUCUGUCUCCUCAAAAACAAAGUAGAGCUCUGUUACCAACCGGAAACCUCCAGUGUUAAAAAAUGAAGCCAAUGCUGAAGUUCAAAAUCCUGCAGUUCCUCAACUGUCCACUAGAGGCUGGCACCAAGAGAACCAGAAGUUACAUACACACCCAUUGAAAAUAGUGCGACUUUAUAGCAGAAAUUAACAUCUUUACAGCCUGGUAGAAAAACCGAAAUAUGUCUGAUUAGCCCAGGGGGGUCGGUUUUUUAAAAGCUGAUCUGUUUAGAUUUUAUGAAAGAUAAGAGUUAUUCACAAUGAGGCGUGUAGCUGAUGUGAUUGACAGGUGGGCGGGGUGUAACGGUUUGUGAAGAGGCUUAAAACCCGCCUCAGCUCCAGCUCUGAGCCUGUCAUAUUUACAAUCUAUGUCUGUUAUAUUAUUAUCACUUAAGUCACAUUUUUCUACAUCUUGGACUACCUUCUUCUCUGGAAUAUUUAACUUUGUUUUACCUCUAUCUGUGACACUGGGUCUUAAACAUAUUUUUGUUAAUCAUCCUCAACUUCAGACACUAAAGCAGUGACGUACAAUUCACAGGAGUGUAAUUGUAGUAGAACUGUGCAUCUUCACUGGUCUUACGAUUCGAUUGCGAUUAUCCAGUCAACGAUUCGAUUCGAUAUCACGAUGCAUCGCGAUUCAUCCUCAAUUUUCUAUUUUACUGCACAUGGCUACUUUUUCAUAAACAGAGACAAACAGUCUUAUAAAUAUUAACUCCUUUUGUAUAAUUUAAAAAGUGCUUUAGACAACAAUGUCAUUAUCAAUAUCUUUACAUUGUAAGUUAAAAUUAAUACAUUAUAAAGGUAGCCUACAGUAUAAGUAAAAAGUAGGCUAUACAUGUUUGUGUGUUUAGUUUAUUAUCAGAGAGAACAAUGUUUUUAAGUCUCUGUGUGUUCUCUUCUCAGGACGUUGUAGUCUUUAGCUGUGAGCUUUGUUCAGGGUUAGUUUUGUUUCUGUCCUUUUUAUUUCAGACAGUUGUGUUACACCCCAUUUCCUGAUAUGGAUGUUUCACAUUAAAAGCACUUCAACUUCAGAUAGGCCGGGGACUUUUAUUGUGAAGAACUUGUCAGAAGUAGAAAGUGUUUAUCAUUGAACGAACGCAGCUUUAGCGGAGGUGGCGCUGUGUCGGGAGUCUACUGUGUUUACAGCCGCUCACUUUAUCACGAGUCACCACCACAGCCCCCUUCUUUUAGUUAUCCUGGACUUAAGAC